rnacentral:misc_RNA from 1 species
ACAGAGCGCCGGAUGCCGGAAAGUUGGUCAAACUUGAUCAUUUAGAGGAAGUAAAAGUCGUAACAAGGUUUCCGUAGGUGAACCUGCGGAAGGAUCAUUACCGAUAAACCGUCCAAGAACGACUCCGUUGUUUUUGCCCUGUGAACCGUACACAACAAUUAGGGGUCGGCCGGCCAGGCCGUUAAAUGGCGAUCGGACGCCUGUGGCGGCCGCCUCGCCAGCCCCGCCGGUGUUUACUCUUUUGAAAACGUUCGCGUUUGUCGUCUGACGUAGCGCGGCCCCUUCCUCGCAGAGGGGGCCCGAGAAGGAAAGAAAAAAAUGCAAGAGACAACUUUUGACGGUGGAUCUCUUGGCUCACGCAUCGAUGAAGAACGCAGCCAGCUGCGAUAAGUAGUGUGAAUUGCAGAAUUCAGUGAAUCAUCGAAUCUUUGAACGCAAAUGGCGCUCUUGGGUUCUCCCAGGAGCAUGUCUGUCUGAGUGUCGGAUAUCAUCCAUCGCAGGAGCGGGCGCCCGCCCGCGCCUGCGGCGUUGAGGCGUCACGGCCGCGGUGUGUCGGCCGUGUCCCUUGAAAGGCAGAGAGACUCGCCGCGUGGUUCGUGGGUCGGUUCCCGCGCAGCGGCGGCGGAGGCCAAAAGCAAUCGCAGUCCUCCGCGCGUUGCCGGGUCCCUCCCGCGGCGCGAGUCGCCCGGGCGAAAGAGUGCCGUGUGUCGGCACGCACCUGUUCUUGACCUCAGAU